CCUACGGGAGACAGCAGUGGGGAAUAUUGCACAAUGGGGGAAACCCUGAUGCAGCGACGCCGCGUGAGUGAAGAAGUAUUUCGGUAUGUAAAGCUCUAUCAGCAGGGAAGAAAAUGACGGUACCUGAUUAAGAAGCCCCGGCUAACUACGUGCCAGCAGCCGCGGUCAUACGUAGGGGGCAAGCGUUAUCCGGAUUUACUGGGUGUAAAGGGAGCGUAGACGGCAGCACAAGUCUGGAGUGAAAUGCCGGGGCUUAACCCCGGAACUGCUUUGGAAACUGUGCAGCUAGAGUGCAGGAGAGGUAAGUGGAAUUCCUAGUGUAGCGGUGAAAUGCGUAGAUAUUAGGAGGAACACCAGUGGCGAAGGCGGCUUACUGGACUGUAACUGACGUUGAGGCUCGAAAGCGUGGGGAGCAAACAGGAUUAGAUACCCCAGUAGUC
rnacentral:rRNA from 1 species